AUCGGGAAUGAGGUUCUCCCCAAGUCAUAUGACUUAAACCGCUUUUAUAAGCUGAUGACUUCUGCGAAU
rnacentral:ncRNA from 1 species